ACUUCCGGAGCAGAGUGCUACACGCCGGAAUUGCGCGUUCCUAUGGAAACCUAGCGCGGGCUGAAGUUCGUUGAACAUUCUGCGGUGUUUCUUGCCAGAUGUGGAAACUGUUUUUGCCCAGAGUUGCCCACCUGGAGCUAACCACUGCUAUAGGACUUCAGAGCUGCUUACAUAAAUUGUGGGGCCCAGUGCAAAAUGAAAAUGCAGUACCCCUCAUUCAAAAAAAAAUCAUUAAAUAUGUCCUGCGAAGCCAUCUGGAUCAAGGAUAUCUCUCCACUUUUUCAGAAGAUAAACGACAGUGAUAAAGUGUAUGGGAAGAAGAUAAUUUGACAGUAUUUUUCUGCUAAAG